CCAACUCGACAUGCCUCUACCU
rnacentral:siRNA from 1 species